rnacentral:rRNA from 1 species
ACUGAAUAGAUACCCUGGUAGUCCACGCCGUAAACGAUGAUCACUCGCUGUUGGCGAUACACAGUCAGCGGCUAAGCAAAAGCAUUAAGUGAUCCACCUGGGGAGUACGGCCGCAAGGCUGAAACUCAAAGGAAUUGACGGGGGCCCGCACAAGCGGAGGAAACAUGUGGUUUAAUUCGAUGAUACGCGAGGAACCUUACCUGGGCUUAAAUGUAGAGUGCAUUGGUGAGAAAUCAUCAUUUUCUUCGGAACUCUCUGCAAGGUGCUGCAUGGUUGUCGUCAGCUCGUGCCGUGAGGUGUCGGGUUUAAGUCCCAUAACGAGCGCAACCCUUAUCGUUAGUUGCCAGCGGGUAAUGCCGGGGACUCUAGCGAAACUGCCGGUGUAAACCGAGAGGAAGUGGGGAUGACGUCAAAUCAGCACGGCCCUUAUGUCCAGGGCUACACACGUGUUACAAUGGCCGGUACAGAGGGCAGCUACCUGGAGACAGGAUGCGAAUCUCGAAAGCCGGUCUCAGUUCGGAUCGGA